GAUGAACGCUGGCGGCGUGCCUAAUACAUGCAAGUCGAACGGAAAAUUCUUGGUACUUGUAUCGGGAGUUUUUAGUGGCGAACGGGUGAGUAACGCGUUGGUGACCUACCCCAAAGUGGGGGAUAACAGAUCGAAAGGUCUGCUAAUACCUCAUGUUGUCAUUGUUUUUAGAAAGCAGUGAUUAAAGGAGCAAUCCGCUUUGGGAGGGGCCUGCGUCCCAUCAGCUAGUUGGUAGGGUAAUGGCCUACCAAGGCGUCGACGGGUAAGGGACCUGAGAGGGUGGCCCCUCACAAUGGAACUGAAACACGGUCCAUACACCUACGGGUGGCAGCAGUAGGGAAUAUUGCACAAUGGACGAAAGUCUGAUGCAGCAACGCCGCGUGUACGAUGAAGGCCUUCGGGUCGUAAAGUACUUUUCAGGGAGAUGAGAAAGGACAGUACCC
rnacentral:rRNA from 1 species